GACGUCGAUAUUCGACGUCAUAAACACGAUUAACUUUGGUGUUUAUGACGUCAACGUGAUAAACACGAUCAACUUUGCUGUUUAUGACGUCGAUAUUCGACUUCAUAAACACGAUCAACAUUGGUGUUUAUCACGUCCAUAUUCGACGUCAUAAACACGAUCAACUUUGGUGUUUAUGACGUCGAUAUUCGACGUCAUAAACACAAGCAACUUAGGUGUUUAUGAUGUAGAUAUUCGACGUCAUAAACACGAUUAAUUUUGGUGUUUAUGACGUCGAUAUUCGACGUC